AUUAUCUUCUCCUCAUCAUCUUCAUCCUCCUUUACUCCAGAAGCUGCGAUGGCCGGUGGUGUGGAUGAGGGCCGGGGCCCAUCGGAGGUCGAGGGUCGUCUCAGUUUGACCGGCGGCGUCUGAGAGUUAAUCGGUCUUCCACUCAGCUGCACCUGCUGUCUCAUUUUAAGCCUGACUGUGGUGUCUCAGCCCUGGAAGACCUCCUACAUUGAUUUGGCUUGAAAAAGACGAAAAUGUAGGCCAAUGGACCAGCAGAAGUCUUCUGAAGUUUCCUCUGUUGGAGGGUGCACCGAUAAUAGAGAUGGGAGGUGGUCUGGUGUGAAUAAAAUCACCCGCAGUGGUGUUUUUAGACGGCCGAGGCAGUCAGACGAGUAAAUAUACAGAGCAAAUAAAAGGAAAAGGAGAGAUUCAAUAAGAAACGAAGCUGAUGAUGAGACAGAAGGAGAGAGGAUGGAUGAGGGAAAGACCGGCAAACCAUAAGAAUUUCUAAAUAACACUUCUCAAAACACAGCAAAAAGUAGAUUGAUGUGUCUGGAAGGAAAAGCGAUUUGUGAUUUCCCAUGCAAGAUAAAAAUUGUAAAUAUACCUGUGCUGGAGGCAAGACUCUGCUUCCCAUAAUGCACUGCGGCAAGCAUAAAUCAUUCAAAUUAUUGCUUUACUGCGUUAUUUAUAAUGGUGU